GAUGAACGCUGGCGGCGUGCCUAAUACAUGCAAGUCGAGCGAACGGACGAGAAGCUUGCUUCUCUGCUGUUAGCGGCGGACGGGUGAGUAACACGUGGAUAACCUACCUAUAAGACUGGGAUAACUUCGGGAAACCGGAGCUAAUACCGGAUAAUAUUUUGAACCGCAUGGUUCAAAAGUGAAAGACGGUCUUGCUGUCACUUAUAGAUGGAUCCGCGCUGCAUUAGCUAGUUGGUAAGGUAACGGCUUACCAAGGCAACGAUGCAUAGCCGACCUGAGAGGGUGAUCGGCCACACUGGAACUGAGACACGGUCCAGACUCCUACGGGAGGCAGCAGUAGGGAAUCUUCCGCAAUGGGCGAAAGCCUGACGGAGCAACGCCGCGUGAGUGAUGAAGGUCUUCGGAUCGUAAAACUCUGUUAUUAGGGAAGAACAUAUGUGUAAGUAACUGUGCACAUCUUGACGGUACCUAAUCAGGAAGCCACGGCUAACUACGUG
rnacentral:rRNA from 1 species